CUGUUCCGUUGCGGGGGAAGAACAAAAGACGAACCUUGUGCUUCCAUUUGCUCUUCCCCUCCUCUGCUCUCUCUCCCCGUUCUCGCCGACGCUCCUCCGCACGACGCCGACGCCCUUUCCACCUCCGCUGGUUGCCUCCGUCUCCCCCGACUCCGACGCCGACGCGGCCUCCGCUUCCGCCCCUAAACCCGACUCUGACGCCGACGCCCCUCCGCCGGUUGCCUCCAUCGCCCCCGACUCCAACGCCGACACCCCUCCGCCUCCGCCUCCGCGAGGGACAUCGACGACCUGCCGAAGAACGCGGCCAACUAUCCUGUCGGUCCUUUCGGCACGAAGGUCAUAUAAGACAACUGUCUUCAUUGGGCAGCCACCAAAGCCUUACUUUCUUGAUCCUGACACUGGUAGUGACCUCACAUCGCUCCAAUGCGAUGCCCCUUGUGUACGAUGCACCCAGAGGCCACAUCCGCUUUAUCGACCCAACAAGGACCUAGUAAUCUGCAGGGACCCAAUUUGCGCGUCCCUGCAUUCAGGCGACUAUAGAUGUGACCACCCAGAGCAAUGUGACUACGAGGUCCAGAAGGUUCUAAAAUUCCACCAAUGGAAAAGUCUCAAAAUGCUUUAACUGUUGGUCCAUCAUUACGACUUCAAGGAUUGUUAGUACCCUUCUUCUCUUUCAAACGACCAUCCCUUGGUCAAGAGAAUCAAAAACGAUGUUGGUCUACAUGGAAAAGGCACUGCUAUUGUCUCUGCUUCUGGAUCAUCAUACAGGAAUUUGUCUACCUCAGCCAUUAUGGAAAGAAUUCCAAGCAGGUGGCCACAUCCUGUGUGGCAUCCUCCAUGGAAGAACUACAGGGUCAUAAGUAGGCAUUUGGGAUGGGUGAGAUCUAUCGCAUUUGAUCCUAGCAAUCAAUGAUUCUGCACUGGCUCUGCAGAUCGGACAAUUAAGGUAUUAAGCUUUUACAAUUGUUGCUGUAGAAUAGAGGUUGAAGAUCAACCAGUCAUCCGGACUUAAAGGGAGGAUCUUUCCGAGACUAUGGGAGGCAGUGUUGAAGCACUUGGAGAACUCUAUUGAUUUAGAACCAAAGCUUCAGAAAGCUCCAGUAAAUUAUGAAGGAGUCCGGGUAUCUGGGUUUGGAGGAUGGUUCCUUCUGAGGCUCUCGCUUUAUGAUCCUGUUCUUCCUCUUAACAUUGAGUCAGAGGGGUGGGCCCCAGGAGUG